rnacentral:rRNA from 1 species
ACCCGGCCCCUAUGUGAGAGCGAACUCGUAUCGUCCCACCACGUCUUUCUCGGACGAGAACUCCGGUCUCCUGCAGCAGCGGCACGAGGUGACGACCUGCUGCUGCUGCGGGUCCCACGGUCUUCUUCCUUCCUUUUCCUUCGAGUCCCUUCGACUCUCGAGUUUCCAAGUGUGACU